GGCCCCUUGAUUAUUCGGGUCUACAGUGCCGAAUCGGCACAGGGACCCUGGAGCCAGCCUGGUUUCAGCACAGUGCCCUUCUACAAAUAAUUGCUCCCUCGCCUUUUCGAAUGCUCCUCUUGCUUAAUAUAGUGCAUGCAUCUCCUGCCUCACCGACCUCUUUGCCGCGCAAGCAGGCGGAUGCUAUUGAACACCGAGGAUUCAGUCA
rnacentral:lncRNA from 1 species